UUUCGGUUAAGCAAUCUUUCAGUUUGCGCGACAAUUUAGCAUCUGGAGUUAGAAGAUAAAAUGUCCUAAAUACCCCCAGUUAUUUCGAAUAAUACCCCCAGUUAUUCCAAAAGCCAGCUCCCUCACGCCGGUGAUGUUAAACGAAUGCGUUACUAGAAAAGUUGAUUUCAACGAUCGAACACGACGUCGGAAAAGAUGAAGUCAAUCCAGUACCAUUGCCGGAGAAGAUGACACUUGUUGCCUGUCGUUGAACAUUAUUGCAACCACCUUUUUACUCAGUCGUUGCCGAUGCCGGAAGAGACAACCAGGCUAUGGACACGRGUCGAUCGCUCAUCAGGCCAUUGAUCUCGUUGAUACCCUCUACGAUUCUGAUGAUCCCUCUGUUUCUGGCGAUUUCAUUGCUCGGGUUACUGAACGUCUUUCUUCUUCUGCUUUGUCUUAGAGCCAUCGAUAAGUCUACCCGGACCGCACUUCGAGGAUGGUGAUUGGUGYGGGUGAACUACGCGGAGGGCUCUACUGCUUCAAAGGUGCAUACUCAAGCAAGGUUCAUAAAGCAGAGGUUGAAGCUUCAUACGAGUUAUGGCACAAGAGAAUGGGUCAUCCCUCCGAGAAAGUAAUUUAACUUCUUCCUAAUUUGAACAUUAGAUGUGGUAAUGAAAAUUGGAUUUGUGGUGUUUGUUCAAAAGCCAAACAGACAAGAGGUACGUUUGAUUCUAGUGAAAAUAAUGCUA